UGCUUCUCUUUUUCUCUACUGGAUUUGGAGUGGAAGUGACGGGAAAUCUGCAACAUCCACACUACAUGGCUCCAGUAGAAAAAAGUGUGGUGGGAAAAUCAAGGAAGAUGAUCGAAGUACUUUCAGAUGACUAUCAUGGCCCAGGACCUAAUCACCCUACGAUGUAUCUCCCUACAGAGAUUUUGUAUAGUCCUCCUCCUCCUGAAGUGUAGUUCGUCUCAUCCUUGUCUCUCUACCUCAAGGCCCAGCCAACACAGUAUAUUAAAUGUAACUUUAUUGUUAAGGGUAAUCCACAUGCAUGGAGUUGAGAACUGUAUCUCACUGUCUAAAAGUUCUAAAUGUAAUGCUCUUCUUCUCUCA